UGGGUGUUAAACAAAUAUUAUAUUUAAAUCGCAUCGUUGAAAAUGAAUAAUAUUUUUAGAUUCUGAUUGGUAAAGGAAAAAUUUUUCUUGAAAAAUCCUAAUCACAUUAGAUUAUUUUCGGUGAUUCCUUAUGGAUAUAAUCGUAAAAACAAUAAAAUGUCAACAGAAAUAUUCCUAUUUCGUUUCCCAACUCUAAAAUCACACAUACAUGUUAUCAACAAAAAAAAAAAAAAUUUAAUGUUGGUACCAAUUAAUAUUGUAUUAUGAUAGGUAUUUUGUUGACUCUAUGUAAAAAUGCGAUGUUAUGAUAAUAUAUGCAUUAACCUGUGUAUGUUUUUAGACACUUAAAUAUUGUUUAGUUUCAUGGCUUAUCGUCGUAAUAUGUUUUGUCCUUCUGGUAAAUACUGUGUGUACGUCCACACUGCAUAAAUCCUUAACUGGCCUUAUACGUAAGAUUACCGUAUUAGAGCAAUGACGUACGUAUAGAGAUAAUAAUAUUUUCGACAAUUACUCAUUCGACGGUUAUAUUCGUUAUUAAUUAUUUUCGAUAGAAAUAUCUUGAUUUUUUGUUUUAUCUUAUCCAAUCUGGUGAUCUCUAUAAAUGUCUCAUCUUUAUAUUUUGGCACACUCUAUACAUGGUGAUAUACCGAUAGAUAACGUAUAUUAACUAUACAGAAAUAAAAACAUUAUAGCAUUUUGUAAAAGAAUUGUACUUGAAUCGUAGACAUAAAUAUACGAACGGUAUAAUACACGCACAAGUAUUUUUUAUUAUUUUUUGUUUUCAUUUAAAUCUACAAAUGCGUAUGUUUUUGCAGUGUUUUGAUGAAUAUUGCAACGAUAGAUUUUUUUAUGCGAUUGUAUUUUCGUAGGCGUGGCAAUAGUUUUCGCAAGUGGUGUACGCCGAGCUACUGUUUAAUUCGAAAUCGUGCAGACCGUCUCGUAUAUUGGUUUGUAAUUAAUUCGUCGUUGGCCGUGUUUUUAAUUACCUAUUUACCGUGACUAAUUUGGUAAUGGACAAUAAUGGUAUUUGCAACAAUUAUAAUCGGGCACGUGACUCUCGUAGACGUCAAUAUAUUAGAGAUGUGGAAGGGCGUUCUGGAAGGUUAGACAAAUAGUUCCAAUAAUUGAUUAGAAUAAUUAUAAUAGCAUAAUGUUUAGAAUUGACAAAUUUACAUUUUUGCGCAUGCUAAUAU